UACGUAGGCAGCAAGCGUUGUUCGGAAUUACUGGGCGUAAAGAGUGUGUAGGCGGUGCUCUAAGUUCGGUGUGAAAUCUCCCGGCUCAACUGGGAGGGGUCAUUCGAUACUGGCGGGCUCGAGGCCGGUAGGGGGAAGUGGAAUUCCCGGUGUAGUGGUGGAAUGCGUAGAUAUCGGGAGGAACACCAGUGGCGAAGGCGGCUUCCUGGACCGGUUCUGACACUGAGGAGCGAAAGCGUGGGGAGCGAUCCGG
rnacentral:rRNA from 1 species